AAUCCAUAGGUUAAUGAGGCGAACCGGGGGAACUGAAACAUCUAAGUACCCCGAGGAAAAGAAAUCAACCGAGAUUCCCCCAGUAGCGGCGAGCGAACGGGGAGGAGCCCAGAGCCUGAAUCAGCAUGUGUGUUAGUGGAAGCGUCUGGAAAGGCGCGCGAUACAGGGUGACAGCCCCGUACACAAAAGCGCAUGUGCUGUGAGCUCGAUGAGUAGGGCGGGACACGUGGUAUCCUGUCUGAAUAUGGGGGGACCAUCCUCCAAGGCUAAAUACUCCUGACUGACCGAUAGUGAACCAGUACCGUGAGGGAAAGGCGAAAAGAACCCCGGCGAGGGGAGUGAAAAAGAACCUGAAACCGUGUACGUACAAGCAGUGGGAGCACAGGUUUACCUGUGUGACUGCGUACCUUUUGUAUAAUGGGUCAGCGACUUAUAUUCUGUAGCAAGGUUAACCGUAUAGGGGAGCCGUAGGGAAACCGAGUCUUAACCGGGCGUUAAGUUGCAGGGUAUAGACCCGAAACCCGGUGAUCUAGCCAUGGGCAGGUUGAAGGUUGGGUAACACUAACUGGAGGACCGAACCGACUAAUGUUGAAAAAUUAGCGGAUGACCUGUGGCUGGGGGUGAAAGGCCAAUCAAACCGGGAGAUAGCUGGUUCUCCCCGAAAGCUAUUUAGGUAGCGCCUCGUGAAUUCAUCUCCGGGGGUAGAGCACUGUUUCGGCUAGGGGGCCAUCCCGGCUUACCAACCCGAUGCAAACUGCGAAUACCGGAGAAUGUUAUCACGGGAGACACACGGCGGGUGCUAACGUCCGUCGUGAAGAGGGAAACAACCCAGACCGCCAGCUAAGGUCCCAAAGUCAUGGUUAAGUGGGAAACGAUGUGGGAAGGCCCAGACAGCCAGGAUGUUGGCUUAGAAGCAGCCAUCAUUUAAAGAAAGCGUAAUAGCUCACUGGUCGAGUCGGCCUGCGCGGAAGAUGUAACGGGGCUAAACCAUGCACCGAAGCUGCGGCAGCGAACGUAUCACCCAAGACAACUUUGCGGAGUUGACGAUUGACGGAGCGAAGCGACGUCAAAGCGUUCAUUAAAGUCGAGUUGGCUUAGGGAUACGUUCGUUGGGUAGGGGAGCGUUCUGUAAGCCUGUGAAGGUGGCCUGUGAGGGUUGCUGGAGGUAUCAGAAGUGCGAAUGCUGACAUAAGUAACGAUAAAGCGGGUGAAAAGCCCGCUCGCCGGAAGACCAAGGGUUCCUGUCCAACGUUAAUCGGGGCAGGGUGAGUCGACCCCUAAGGCGAGGCCGAAAGGCGUAGUCGAUGGGAAACGGGUUAAUAUUCCCGUACUUGGUGUUACUGCGAAGGGGGGACGGAGAAGGCUAUGUUGGCCGGGCGACGGUUGUCCCGGUUUAAGCGUGUAGGUGUGUGUUCCAGGUAAAUCCGGUUCACUUUAACACUGAGGCGUGACGACGAGGCACUACGGUGCUGAAGCAACAAAUGCCCUGCUUCCAGGAAAAGCCUCUAAGCAUCAGGUAACAUCAAAUCGUACCCCAAACCGACACAGGUGGUCAGGUAGAGAAUACCAAGGCGCUUGAGAGAACUCGGGUGAAGGAACUAGGCAAAAUGGUGCCGUAACUUCGGGAGAAGGCACGCUGAUAUGUAGGUGAAGCGGUUUACCCGUGGAGCUGAAAUCAGUCGAAGAUACCAGCUGGCUGCAACUGUUUAUUAAAAACACAGCACUGUGCAAACACGAAAGUGGACGUAUACGGUGUGACGCCUGCCCGGUGCCGGAAGGUUAAUUGAUGGGGUCAGCGCAAGCGAAGCUCCUGAUCGAAGCCCCGGUAAACGGCGGCCGUAACUAUAACGGUCCUAAGGUAGCGAAAUUCCUUGUCGGGUAAGUUCCGACCUGCACGAAUGGCGUAAUGAUGGCCAGGCUGUCUCCACCCGAGACUCAGUGAAAUUGAACUCGCUGUGAAGAUGCAGUGUACCCGCGGCAAGACGGAAAGACCCCGUGAACCUUUACUAUAGCUUGACACUGAACAUUGAGCCUUGAUGUGUAGGAUAGGUGGGAGGCUUUGAAGCGUGGACGCCAGUCUGCGUGGAGCCGACCUUGAAAUACCACCCUUUAAUGUUUGAUGUUCUAACGUGGACCCGUAAUCCGGGUUGCGGACAGUGUCUGGUGGGUAGUUUGACUGGGGCGGUCUCCUCCUAAAGAGUAACGGAGGAGCACGAAGGUUGGCUAAUCCUGGUCGGACAUCAGGAGGUUAGUGCAAUGGCAUAAGCCAGCUUGACUGCGAGCGUGACGGCGCGAGCAGGUGCGAAAGCAGGUCAUAGUGAUCCGGUGGUUCUGAAUGGAAGGGCCAUCGCUCAACGGAUAAAAGGUACUCCGGGGAUAACAGGCUGAUACCGCCCAAGAGUUCAUAUCGACGGCGGUGUUUGGCACCUCGAUGUCGGCUCAUCACAUCCUGGGGCUGAAGUAGGUCCCAAGGGUAUGGCUGUUCGCCAUUUAAAGUGGUACGCGAGCUGGGUUUAGAACGUCGUGAGACAGUUCGGUCCCUAUCUGCCGUGGGCGCUGGAGAACUGAGGGGGGCUGCUCCUAGUACGAGAGGACCGGAGUGGACGCAUCACUGGUGUUCGGGUUGUCAUGCCAAUGGCACUGCCCGGUAGCUAAAUGCGGAAGAGAUAAGUGCUGAAAGCAUCUAAGCACGAAACUUGCCCCGA
rnacentral:rRNA from 1 species